rnacentral:rRNA from 1 species
GCGUAGCGAUACGUUGAGCUAACCAGUACUAAUGAACCGUGAGGCUUAACCUGACAACACCGAAAGUGUUUUG